CUCCCUUCUUUUACCAGAAUAUGUUUAUAAGGCCUUUAGGAAACCACUUUGUGUUAUGUUAAGAGGAAGACAGUGCGGGGGAUCAGGGCACUAUGGCAGUCCAUUCCCAGCAAUGCCUGCUCCCUGUCCUGAGAUGCGCAGCACUGCGGGACCCUCGCUGUGCAGCAGCAGCAGCAAAAGGGACACCUGGUGCGUGCCCAGCAUCAGGGGAUUGGCUCAGGGAACACAGAGCUUCGCUGCCCCUUCCCACCUCCCUUCCCCUCCCACUGUGCCGCCCCAUGAAACCCCACGCACUGGGCGUCCUCGCCCUCCAGCAGCCGGCGGUACGUGGCGAUCUCCUGCUCCAGGCGGCACUUGACGUCCAGCAGCACGCGGUACUCGUGGUUCUGCCGCUCCAUGUCACAGCGCAGCUCGGCCAGCUGCUCCUCCACGCUGGUGAUCAGCGCCUGCAGCUGGGCCAGCUGGGUGCCGUAGCGCGCCUCGGUGUCGGCCAGGGUGCCCUCCAGCGCCGCUUUCGUGCUGAGCUGGGACUGCAGGUCGAUCUCCAGGCUCUGGAUGGUGCGGC
rnacentral:lncRNA from 1 species